CAGAAAUUAUAGAGUGUAGAAAAUCACUUGGAAAAAUCAAAACCAUUACAGAAAAAUCCAUGUCUGGAAUGGAUGGAACACACAAUUUUACAGGAUAGGAGCAAGACUCCAGAGCAAAGCUGUUCCUGACCCUGGGCAUCCCUACACCAGCAAGACCUUGUGCCCUGUGUCAGAUCUUCUGGGAGAGCCGGACUGCAUGGACUCAGGGCUGCAGCCUUUAAGAGGAAGAAGAUGGAUGACAGACUUCUCCCUGCUACCCCACCAGAGGCCAUGCAAGUGGAAAGAACCUUCCCCUAGCCCCAGGCUGACAGAGCUAUCAGAGGGAAUCUUUGCAAAUUCAGCACAUACCAAACAAUGGGGAUUUUCCUCUGUGUGAUGAGACAUACUCCUGAUCACAGCCCUGGCAAGUCAGUUCCAUUCUGCUGCUUUCAUUCUGGCCAGCUGGUAUCAGCCUCCUGCAUCUCCAAGUCUUAUGAGUUUGACCCUUUUCCUGUGGAAAUAGGUAUGACAAAAAUACCUGUCAUUGUGAAGGACAACAGAAUAUAACUUGUUUUUGCGAGAAAUACCAGGGUCACUCUAAGCUCAGAAAUACUGUGGCAGCUCCAGUAAAACCAGCAAAGUAAAUAUAGACACAAGAUAAACUAUCUGGUCUUCCCUUUGCCUGUGACCUCUAUUACUUUCCCUGUUUCUCUGACUAUAACCUCAGUAAGUGUAUUUUUGAUCCUUCAGUUAAUAUGAUUAUCAGGCUUCACACUGCCACUGCUCUCAAAUUUUCCAGAUGGCAUUUCAUCUGGAAAGUUACAACCCUGUUCUGCUUGUUAUUUAUUUAACAACUGUGCUUUUGACUAAUACAGAAUACUCUCAGUAACAAAUCUAUAUUCAUCAAAGUUCAGAUAUUCAGUGUUAGCAAUUUAUUUUGAUUUUGUCACCAUUUACACAAAGUUAUUUACCUACCCUUCUAGCAUUUUUCAAAGUACUCUGUUGCUUUAAUACACACUUACUAAAAUACAAACUGUACUUAAAGCCAUCCUCUGGAGGAGUCCCCGUCCUGAAUGAAGUUCUGUGGCACAACUGAACUACAUGAAAUGACAGUGGCAGUCUCCUAAGGGUGAAUUUACCUCUGUGUUAAUGAACGAAUAGAAUAGACAUACGGAGUCUCAGUGAGAUAGUCCUUAUGCUCCCUUAGGAAAGUUGAGGUGCUACGUUGAUAAUUGAACACUGGUAAAAGACAGAUUAUUUUUCUUAAACCCACGAUUUUGCAGUAGGGAUUCAGUCCAUCUUCCAGUGGAAUGUCUGAAAAAGUUUCAUAGACACCAGAACUGAUAUUGCCUGUCACUAUGCAAACCGAAAACCGCUUCGUC
ensembl:lncRNA